UUAAUAUUUGAAUUCCGAGCUUUUUAUUCUAAAGGAUGCCGUGUAUCCCAUGAAUACUGAGCCUAAACCAGAGAGGUUUACGGGGUUGGGCAGGAAACAGCCCGGCCUUCACUAGUUGAGAAGGAAGUCUAUUUUUUAAGCA
rnacentral:ncRNA from 2 species